UACGUAGGGUGCAAGCGUUAAUCGGAAUUACUGGGCGUAAAGCGUGCGCAGGCGGUUCUAUAAGACAGAUGUGAAAUCCCCGGGCUCAACCUGGGAACUGCAUUUGUGACUGUAGAGCUGGAGUACGGCGGAGGGGGAUGGAAUUCCGCGUGUAGCAGUGAAAUGCGUAGAUAUGCGGAGGAACACCGAUGGCGAAGGCAAUCCCCUGGGCCUGUACUGACGCUCAUGCACGAAAGCGUGGGGAGCAAACAGG
rnacentral:rRNA from 1 species